GGCUCAUGCAGAUAAAUAGUUUCUUAAGUCAUCUUUAGGUCAAAUGCAAACAUACUAGUCAAGCUUAAUAGUUAACCAUUGAUGAACUUUGCUUGAGAGAGGGUUCAACUAGGUUCUUCAAAGCUAUAUUAUACACUUAUCUUGCUUUUCUGUCCAGAAAAGUUGGAUAAGGACUGUGCUGGUGGUUAAUGAUAAGAGAUCGUAUCCUGGCAAAGGGAUUUAUGUUAAAGCUGAUGUCUGCAAAAAGAAGCAAGCAAUACAACUUGGACUCUAAGUCAGCGUUUACAGGCCGAGCUGAAGAUAAACUACGGGCUUAUUUUAUAAAUAUUAACAAAAGAUAAAAUGUCACCAACACACACUGCCCUUUGGAAAAUUAGCAUUGAUCACCUCGUUCCAGGGAACGUGUCUGCUUUGGCAAUUGAAAACAGCUGUCUCCUGUAAAAAUCAUUCUUCAUGUAGUCCAAAAAAAAAACCAAAAUAAAAAAUCUUAAUUUGAUUUGAAGAAUGGUAUUCACCAUAAAGGCAAUACUGACAGUAAAUCACAAUCAGUAAAGGAUAUGAGAAUUCUGAGAAUGUCUUUAAAUGACCGGAAGCUGUUCUCUGUGAGGCUCUUCCGCUUACGUUCAUAGUGGCAUUUGAAAGAGAUCAUCCCUCAAGAUCAGUGCUGUAGAUUUAUGUGCCCAGGACUUAACAUCCCAGCUAUUUGGGCUUAGUCUGAGCUACGACUUAAAAGCAGCAGCACACAAGAACAGUGCAGGUCUUCUAAAGCAACCAUAAAGAACAAACUCAAACAAAGGACUGAUGGAGAAGAACUGUGCAGCUGUAACCUGGGUGAACACGUCUGCAAAAUGGAGGCAGGAUGCCAAUUUCUACAUUUUUCUGGAGAUUCUUAUUUACUCACCAAAGUCUCCUUUUGCAUGUAUCCAUUAAAACAGGAGCUGAUUAUUGAAUAUUUGAGUUUCCAGAAAUGACCUUUCUCUGAUCACUCUGAAGAAUGUGCGUUAUCAUCUUCCUUCAUUCCUUAGUGAAUAACAAAAAUCUGCAAGAAUUUAAAAGAAUAGCAUCAUUCUUAUAUUUGACUCUCACAAAGAAUUUGGUUUGUACUGCAGUGUUUAUACAUUUUGGAAUGUAAAAUGAAUAAAAGGACAAAAAUUUAA